rnacentral:rRNA from 1 species
CAGUCGCCGCGGUAACACGUAGGGUGCGAGCGUUAAUCGGAAUUACUGGGCGUAAAGCGGGCGCAGACGGUUACUUAAGCAGGAUGUGAAAUCCCCGGGCUCAACCUGGGAACUGCGUUCUGAACUGGGUGACUAGAGUGUGUCAGAGGGAGGUAGAAUUCCACGUGUAGCAGUGAAAUGCGUAGAGAUGUGGAGGAAUACCGAUGGCGAAGGCAGCCUCCUGGGAUAACACUGACGUUCAUGCCCGAAAGCGUGGGUAGCGAACAGGAUUAGAUACCCGGGUAGUCCCUGUCUCUUAUAC